rnacentral:lncRNA from 1 species
GAUAUAUUCAUAAAAUAUGAUAUUUGAAAAUAAAUAUCAAAAAUAAAUAUAAGAAUAUAUUUCAUACUAAUUCAAUGCAAAUAAAAUCUUUUCUCAUAUAGAUAUAUAAUUAAAAAUCUAAUUCAAAAUAAAUCACAUAUAACUCAACAGUUUUAACCAUGACCACACUUAUUCCUAUGGCAGGGUCUAUAAUAGAGUGCCAAGAUAUAAUCUCCAUUGAUAGUAUCUAAAAAUGAAUGCAUAACUUCCAUUGGCAAGGUCCAAAAAUAAAUACACAACUUCCAUUAAUAGGGUUCAAAAAUUAACAUAUAACCCGCAUCGGUAGGAUCCAAAAAUCAAUCAUAACCUCCAUUGGCAAGGUUCAGAGCACAGUUAGGUUAAGAGCAUGAAUCCGAUCUGUAUCAAAGUAUUUUUGUAAAAUAACAUAUAUAUUAUAAUUUCAGUCCACAUAUGCAUGUUUCAUAACCAAUCAGUAAAUCAUAAUAUUCUAGGAAUCUCAAAUUUGUAAAUCACUUUUCAUUCAAAAUAUAGUUUUAUAAAUCAUGCAUAAAUCAAAGACUAAUUAUUUAUUUUCAAAAUAAAUUAUAAAAUAUAUUAAGGAGAUUGUUUAUUAGUUACCUUAUGUAGAAUACUGAAUCAAUCUGUCGAUUAACUUUGAGG